rnacentral:lncRNA from 1 species
UGCUAGGCAAAUGCUCAGGGAGCGCAAGCUGGCUCAGGGGUUCCACUCCCAAAAGUAAAACACCAGCUCCAUGAGGUUGCAGGCUCCAGCCCCGACCCUCAGGUUGUUCCUGUGCUG